rnacentral:tRNA from 1 species
GAUGAAGUCAGCUAAAUAAGCUUUCGGGCCCAUACCCCGAACAUGACGGUUAAACCCCCUCCCUCAUCA